rnacentral:rRNA from 1 species
UACCAGCACCCCGAGUGGUCGGGACGAUUAUUGGGCCUAAAGCAUCCGUAGCCGGUUCUACAAGUCUUCCGUUAAAUCCACCUGCUUAACAGAUGGGCUGCGGAGGAUACUAUAGAGCUAGGAGGCGGGAGAGGCAAGCGGUACUUAGUGGGUAGGGGUAAAAUCCGUUGAUCCAUUGAAGACCACCAGUGGCGAAGGCGGCUUGCCAGAACGCACUCGACGGUGAGGGAUGGAAAGCGGGGAGCAAACCGGG